rnacentral:lncRNA from 13 species
GAACUGAUAUUCUAGAACCGUACUGAACUGAUCUUCUAGAACCGUACUGAACUGAUCUUCUAGAACCGUACUGAACUGAUAUUCUAGAACCGUACUGAACUGAUAUUCUAGAACCGUACUGAACUGAUAUUCUAGAACCGUACUGAACUGAUCUAGAACCGUACUGAACUGAUAUUCUAGAACCGUACUGAACUGAUCUAGAACCAUACUGAACUGAUAUUCUAGAACUGUACUGAACUGAUCUAGAACCGUACUGAACUGAUCUAGAACCAUAAAAUGGAAGUAAAGUGCUUCAAUGAGUCCAACUCGUAAAAAAAUGGUUUAAUUACAAUGAACAGUGAAGAAAAACACAUUAUUAAUAACAAUCAUCUCACCAGGAUGUUUUUAUUCAGGAACAACGGCCUGAUGCUAUUGGUCAAGACCAGACAAUCAAUCAAUCAAUCAAAUGUAUUUAUAAAGCUUGAGCAGAUGUCACAAAGUGCUUCUACAGAAACCCAGCCUAAAGACCUCCAACAUGCCUGAUGUUAUCAGGGUCCAUUUCAAUUCCAGACGAUUCAAGAAGUGAAUCAAACUCCGAUUCAAAUUCAAAAUGUUCCUCAUUUAAAAGUAUUGAAGAGAAUUAGAAUUGGAAUGUUUGUGUACUUCCUGAAUUGGCUGAAUUUGAAAUGGCAUUUGACCCCAACAAUGGAUGUUAUUGGUCAAGACCAAACUAGGGCUGAUGUUAUUGGUCAAGACCAAACAAGUGCUGAUGUUAUUGGUCAAGACCAGACAAGGGCUGAUGUUAUUGGUCAAGACCAGACAAGGGCUGAUGUUAUUGGUCAAGACCAAACUAGGGCUGAUGUUAUUGGUCAAGACCAAACAAGUGCUGAUGUUAUUGGUCAAGACCAGACAAGGGCUGAUGUUAUUGGUCAAGACCAGACAAGGGCUGAUGUUAUUGGUCAAGACUAUUCUACUCUAUUUUAGUGGGUUCUUUUCCCACAAGGCAUUGCACACUCAGGAGUCCAGUUCUGACCUUCAUGAAGUGUGUUUAAGCGUGCAUUCAUAAGUGCAUGUGUGUGUCUAUCUGUGUGUGUGUCUGUCUGUGUGAGUAUUUGCGUCCGUCCUUGUGUGCGUGACCGUCUGUGUGUCUGUGUGAGGGUCUGUUUAC